rnacentral:rRNA from 1 species
CCAAGGGUGGGGGUGUUCACCCAUUAAAAGGGUUCGUGAGCUGGGUUCAGAACGCUGUGAGGCAGUUUGUUUGAUAUCUAUUGGAAGUGUUUGACGUCUGAAAGGAAGGACCACUUAGUACGAGAGGAACGGUGGUUCGGAGCCACUGGUGGACCGGUUAUCCGACAGGGUACGCCGGGCAGCUACGCUCCAAGUGAUAAGUGCUGAAAGCAUCUAAGCACGAAGUACACCUUGAAAAGAGACAUCAUAGGGCAUCACAAAAACAGUGGUUUGAUAGAACCGGUGUGUAAGUACGAAGGCAACGACGUAUUCAGCAUGCGGUUACUAA